AUUGAACGCUGGCGGCAGGCCUAACACAUGCAAGUCGAGCGAGCGGCGGACGGGUGAGGAAUGUAUGGGGACUGCCCGUUAGAGGGGGAUAACUACUGGAAACGGUAGCUAAUACCGCAUACUAUCGGAUAACCCAUAGGGGAUUAGCUAGUAGGGGAGGUAAUGGCUCACCUAGGCGACGAUCCCUAGCUGGUCUGAGAGGAUGAUCAGCCACACUGGGACUGAGACACGGCCCAGACUCCUACGGAGGCAGCAGUGGGGAAUAUUGGACAAUGGGUGAAAGCCUGAUGGAGCCAUGCCGCGUGUGUGAAGAAGGCCCUAGGAUUGUAAAGUACUGUCAGUCGGGAGGCGUUAUCGACAGAAGAAGCACCGGCUAACUCCGUGCCAGCAGCCGCGGUAAUAC
rnacentral:rRNA from 1 species